UACAGAGGUCCCAAGCGUUGUUCGGAUUCAUUGGGCGUAAAGGGUGCGUAGGCGGCGCGGGAAGUCGGGUGUGAAAUCUCGGAGCUUAACUCCGAAACUGCAUUCGAUACUGCCGUGCUUGAGGAUUGCAGAGGAGACUGGAAUUCCCGGUGUAGCGGUGAAAUGUGUAGAGAUCGGGAGGAACACCGGUGGCGAAGGCGGGUCUCUGGGCAAUUCCUGACGCUGAGGCGCGAAAGCGUGGGGGAGCAAACGGGA
rnacentral:rRNA from 1 species